rnacentral:lncRNA from 1 species
CGAAUCGCAUGCGAGGUCGCGGUAGGUGGAAGAAUCCUUGGGGUCGAAGAGCAGCGGUGUCUGCUCGUAGCAUUGAGUGCAAGGCUUGCAGUUGGCCCAGAUGAGGUCGCUGCCGGUGUCGACGAUGGCGACGACCUUAAACUUGGGGGUACCAAGCUCGACCUCGAUGAGGUACUCGGUGAGGUCGGGAAGGACUUGGGCCUCGAUGGAGGUAUCACCGGAAGCGGCGAGGCCGGCACGUGCAACGCGCGAUGGCCGGAGGGCGGAGCGCUCGGCCGCUGCUCUCACGCGGUCGAAGGCGGUAGAUGAAGGAUCAUACAGCGGGGACCGGGGCGAGUCACGAUGGAUGAGGUCGACACGGAAGCCAUCUGCGGCAGCCCCCGCGGCGACAGCAGCAAGAAAGAUGGCAAAGGCAAUGGGCUUCAUGGUGAAGAAGAAGAAGAGAAGAGGAAGAAUGCAGCGAACUGAGAUGGUGUGGGGUAUUUUUAGGGAGGGGAAAGGGAAUCGUCGGAGAUAAUGAAGCAAGAGCUGUCCGAAACUGAUUUGGGGAAAGAAUCCGGAGGGACAGAUCACCUACUGUUUCCCGGUGGGCGGCGCGCGGCGGUCGCUGAAUGGAACGGAAGGGUCGGAACGGGAAGGCCAGUAUCCUUCCAUGACACCGAGGAUAUGCAUAUCCUUAUCUGACCCGGUGGCGUCCACCGGAAACACAUCAAAAUUCGUGCUGCCGUUUGAACCUUCAAAUUGAACCGGUUGGUCCCUUUGUUACGAGGAAGAAGAAACACAUGAGAUUAUGUUAAUUUCCAGGUCGAUUGGCUUUUAAUAGAAAUAGAAAUUUUGUAUGUGUUUGGAUAAAUCAUUAUUUUAAUACUUGAUCAUAUCUUUAUAUUUUUUAAAUUAGAAGCAAGAAAAUAUUUUGACUAUUUAAAAAAAAGAACUCUCUCCUUAUGGAUGGGUUAAGUUCAAAUUUAUGUUGAGCAAAAUGAAAAGAGAGACUAUAAAUAAAAAUAUAGAUACAAUAAACUAAUAAGAAAUUUAGUUUAUGAUGUCAUUCCUUAUCAUAAAGGAAAUUACUUUCCUUAUAAUAAACAAUUUAUGAUUAUCUUCCUUUUCUUGCUAUAACGAAUGAGAAGAAAGUUUGUAUUUCCUUAUAAUAAACAAGAAAGCUUAUGAUUAUCUUUUUCGUCACAUGACUUAUAUGUCACGUGCUGAUUGCGUGUCAACUAUUGAUAAAUUUCUUAUCAUUUAUCCCUUCUGGAAUGCAUACUUCAUGGUUUCGAUAGGGUGUUCGAGGCACAUCGUUUGAUCAUUUGGUUUUAUCGAUAUCAAGUUUCGCGAUUGUGUAAUGAUUUUUAUUUAUUCGUCAUAGCGAAUAUAUUCAUCCACCAUAGCAGGUCUGUUUAUCUAUCUUAGCGAGCCUAUUUGUCCACUAUCACAACGGUUCUAUUCGUUCACCAUAGUGGGUUUUGCUAUUGACCAUCGUUGUGGGAGUGGGAGUCCGUCAUUGCGGAUUUUGCCUUAACCGCCAUUGUUGGAGCUAUUGCGGAUUUUGCCUCGAUCGUCAUUACGAGAGUAAGAGUCUACCGUUGUGGAUUUUGCCUCGACCAUCUUUAAAAGAGUAGGAGUCUGCUAUUGCAUAUUUUGUCUCGGUCGUCAUUGCAGGAGUAGGAGUCUGUCAUUGUGGAUUUUGCCUCAACAGCCAUUGCGAGAGUAGGGGCCCAUCAUUCCAGAUUUUACCUUGACCAUUGUUGUGAGAAUAGGAGUCUGUCAUUGUAGAUUUUGCAUUGACCACCGUUUGUGAGAGUGGGAGUUUUCUAUUGCAGAUUUUGUUUAGCUCGUUGUUGUGAAUUUUGCCUUGAUUGCCAUUGCAAGAGUAGGAGUCCACCGUUGUAGAUUUUACCUCAAUUGUCAUUGUGGGAGUAAGGGUCCGUCGUUGCAGAUUUUACCUCGACCACCAUUGGAGUAGGAGUCUACCAUUGCAUAUUUUGCGAGGGUAGGGGUCUGCCAUUGUGGAUUUUGCCUCCGCCUCCUUUAUCUUCGAGAGAUGGGCUUUCCUCCUUUGCCUUCAGGAGAGGGCUCAUGAGCUCUCUUUCUUCGCCUUUAGGAUAUGGCACAUAGACUCUCCUCCUUCACCUUUAAGAGAGGGCACAUAAGAUUUCCUUCAUCGCCUUUGGGAGAGGGCACAUGGGAUUUCCUCCUUCGCCUAUGGGAGAGAGUGCAUGAACUCUCCUCCUUCACCUUUGGAAGAGGGUGCACGGGCUCUCCUCCUUUACCUUCGAAAUAGGGCACACGAGCUCUCCUCCUUCGCCUUCAAGAGAGCAUGCAUGACCUCUUCUUCUUUGCCUUCGAGAGAGAGCAUUGGUUUGGGGCCCUAUCAUAGCGGGAGUGUGGAUUUAUUGUAGUGGCUUGGUUCAAUCGCUGUAGAGAGUUUGACUAUAGUAAUGGGUUAGGUCAUUUUUGAAAUACCUUGAUUAGUUAUUCCAUCUAGGGGGGAGGGGCCUUAUCGAGGUCUCGGGGGUCAAUGAGUGGAUUCUCUGACUUCAUCUUCUGUCUUAGCACAUUGAGUUAUUUUUAAUAUGACAUGAUUUAGUUAGCUUUUGAUUAUAGGGCUAUGGAGUUUGAAUCUUAUUGUACCACUUCGGCUAUCGGGAGGUACUUUAUUUAGUACCAUGACCAUAGUGCUCCCAUGUGUCUCAUGUUUUAGUUUUUGUUAUUUACUAUGGUUUGUGCUACUUGAGCUUUUUUUUUUUUUACAAGUAUGGAUCCCGAUAGUCGUAGUCUUCCAGUAUCUCCUAUUGAGCUUUCGAGCUCAUGGAAGGUCGAGUGAGAGUCUUAGGUCAGGCUAGAGUGGUCUACAUAAUCGUGGGCUCUAAUGCCUUUAGGGGGUGAUGGCUCAUCCUACCAGGGUCGUGGGGACUUGAUAUAGGCAUUGUAGAGGCGCAAGUGUGCCGUGAAGACUGUUUUUUUGCCACAAGUGCCCUACCUUGAGACGAGAGACUAUGAGGACUAUUCUCCCCCUAUCAAGGUUUCUCUUAACGGGACUGUGCAAGGUGGAGGACGUGCUGUUGAGGGGCUAUCUUGUGAAUAUAUGUGUACUGACCCUUCAUGUCGGUUGGGGCCUCUUGGGCCCCAAUCUCUUUAUAGGCUAUGCUCUUAUCAUCCAGGGUUAUUCAUGGCUUUUAAUAUGGUCAACUAGCCCCCUAUGGCCCUUCUUAUGACUUAUUGUGAGGGGAUGACUAAGGAUAUGAAGAUGUGGGAGAGCUCCUCGACUAUGGGUGGGGCUUGCUGAGAUUGAGAAGGACUUCGUAUCGAUAUAAGUAACUUAUUACUUUAGAGAGCCUUAAGACCAAGUACCUAGGAAUGUGUGUUGAGGAGGAACCAUUCACUCUGCAGACCGAAGAUCUCGAUAUCCUUGAAGCAUAUGUCUCUUUCGAUGAUAGCCUUGACUCAUCUUUUUUUUUUUUAAUCCUUUUUGAAGGGUUUCAAUUUGCAUCUUUCGGAUGUGAGCCCUCGAUUGUAAGCGUCGCACUAAUGCAAGCCUCCUACUUUUAAUAAAAUUUUCUUUCUUCAUGUGCUAUUAUAUUGUGAGCUUUUUAGUUGAGGUGAUACUUUAAGGACAUAAUCCUUUUCGUUGAUGUAUUACGCUCUAAGGUAGAGCUCUAUAUUCUAUAAUCUUAAGGUGAUGAGUUCCCUCUCGGGUGUAGCCUAAUAUUAUUACGUUGGUGCCAUUGGUUGGAGAGCCAACAUGGCCUAAUUCGAUCCCGAAGCGAAUAUCCACCCAAAGGGCUCGCUCAGGGGCGAGGGUGCAACCCAAACGGGGGGUUGAGAUGGCAAGUAGACUCCUAAUGUGUUGCUAGCAUUAGGAGUCCCUAACUUUCUACUCUUCUUUCAAAUUUUUCUUAAUGAGGUGAUAUUCAAUAAAAAAACCUAACAUUUUAUAUAAAAUUAUUAUUUGUGAUAAAUAUCGAUGAUCUAAUGAAACCGAUAUGGCAAUGUCAAGGCCUUUCAUUCCCCAUUUACACAAGAUAGGAUAUGGAUUGAGAAUCCCUAUUUAAGAUUGAUAACUCACGAGUUCUUCAUAAUUUUCUAAUUAAUUUAUUAUAUCUUAGAAAAAACUAUUAUCAAAGUUAAUUAAUAAUUCCUAAAUGUAUAAGUAAUAAGGAUAAUAUUUAUAAAGUUUAUGUAUCAUAAAAAUAUUUAAUAUAAAUAUAAAUAUAAAUAAAUAAAUAUAUAUAUAUUAAUAUUUAUUGAUACUGUAUCAUUUGGUUUGAUAGAACCAAUUGGUUUAUGAUUUGAUUUGUAAUCGACUCAACUUAGUCAAAUUUGAAUCAUGUGAGUGACUAACGAUGCUAUCGAUGGCGAACAAUGCACGAAGGACUUGCAUUUAAGCAAAGAGAGGUUCAUGAAUAUGAGCCCUCUUAGUUAAGAUAUUUUAUAAUGGGUGAUGAUAAGUAAUAUUACGUUUACAUUUUCCAUUGAAGAGAUGAUAAGUGAUGAUAAGUAUCUAUCGACAUCAUUUUCCAUCGAAAAGAUCAGCUGUUUAGGUCAUCUAUUCUAUUUGCCACAGGAAAAGCUACAGAGCUUUUCAUGCAAGCCUUACCCUUCUCAUCUUCGCAAGAGCUCGGUUUUCUAAGUAAUCCUCCUAUUUUGAGAUGGAAAGUGCAUGUAAGAAGUAAAGCACAAAAAGAACUUCCUGCAUAUCAUCAAACCCAUAGAUCUUCCAUGGACAAUUCAAGAUUUAUAUAUCAUUAGAUUGAAUCGAAUCGAGUCUGGACGGAGUCCAGCGAUCUUAUUCACAAAAUCAAAGCACAAACAAGAACAGAACGAUAUCCGACAUAAGGAAUGACAACAAGAACAGUUUACAUACACACAGAAAGACACAGACGAACGUAGAGGUGGGCUUAGAAGUCGGUGCAGUCGACAUGAGCGAAGGAGAGCUGGUCCGUCCCCAGAUUGUACUCAACAUGAAGGUUCUGCUGCGCAACGUUACCGAAGAUCUGGACAUCAGCGGAGCUAUACACCGCCAGGCACACCACGUCCGGCGCAACCUCUAUGAAGGUGUUCAUCGGGCUCAGCUUCAAUGGUGCCCCCUCGAAGUUGUAGGUGAUGUCCGGAAACUUGUAGUCGCGAGAACCACUGACGUCGAAGCACGCUGCGAAGGAGGAAAGGUCGGGGUCGUUGGGGACCGGGAGAUCCACUACGUCUUUCACUGCUUUUGCCAGUUCGCCUACCACGUCGGGGGAAAGAAUGUUCAGUGUCGUGCCGGAAUCGAUGAUAAUGUUUGGUGAUCCGGAAGCAGUUGGAGAGGUCGCCGAGAUAUUUGUGUUGCCGACGCUGAUCCCGUUGAGAGUUAGAUAGUAGAAAGAUUCUUGUACGGUGAGGGGCGUGGACAAGACGUUCCUUCCGGAGAGGGCGGGACCAUCGCCGAAAACUAGCUUGCUGGUGGCGGACGUCUGCGAAAAGGGAACCAAGCAGUAGGAGAACUUGGCGUAGAUGGAGGAACCGAGCUGGGAGACGAGGGAGAGCUGCCCGGCAGCAAGUCCCACGAGCCCACCGGUCCUGUUGCUGAAGGUGCCGCUGCUCUGAUGAGAGCACCCGAAGGUGAUAUUGCGGGUGGAGAUCGUUUCCGAGCCGGUGGUGGCGAAGGUGAAGGUCUCGCUCGCCAGAUUGCCGACGACCUGCGAUUGGUCUCCGUAGGAGUACUGGUACUGGCACUUGGAGUCGCUGCUGCAGCCCGACACGGGAAGCUCGUCGCACUGCUGCGAAUCGCAUGCGAGGUCGCGGUAGGUGGAAGAAUCCUUGGGGUCGAAGAGCGGCGGUGUCUGCUCGUAGCAUUCAGUGCAAGGCUUGCAGUUGGCCCAGAUGAGGUCGCUGCCGGUGUCGACGAUGGCGAUGACCUUAAACUUGGGGGUACCGAGCUCGACCUCCAUGAGGUACUCAGCGGAGUCGGGAACGACAGGGGCCUC